GAUUGCGUGCGAGUUAAGAUGAAGCUUGACAUCAUCUUGAGAAAGCUAAAGGGCUUUAGAGCUUAUUAAAGAGCUGUCACGCCUAACUAGGAAUGGAGUAAUGUUUACAGCAAGGUGUUGGAGAGCUGAGAAUGUGAGGUUGGAGGGUGGAGAUCUGUUCACCAGAGUAGCUCUUUGAAUCAUCAGGAAUUUGUGCAGGUUUAUAUACCACCUGCCAACUUAACAUCUACUUACUUGCCCACCAUGACUGAAAAUGGCUUUGCAACAGGGAGAUGCAGCUUUUCUAUACUGUCCAGGAAGACGGUGGCUCUGGACUGAAGAGUAGCAAGUUCAAGUGCAUAAGAAAGCAAUAAUGGGUGAUGUUCCAUCCAAGGAGAAGCUAAUGCCAUUAAACCACCUAUAUUUGAACAUUGGGUCUAAGCCUCACACACACAAACAGACGAACACCAACCCUUUGCAGGAACACCGGGGCUCCGAGGUCUCACUUUGUAAAGGCGCAGUCGAGUGGUGUGCUGGAUGAGUUAUGCAGUCAGGGGGAUGCAGCUUUUCAUCCUGGCUGUGUCAAGUUCUCAAUUGGCUAGGGAUUCGAUAUUUUCUUGCUUGUGAGUUUAUUUUGCUGUAAAAAUGUACUGUAUUGUAUGUCUAUAUUACAUCAACAGGAGUAUAUUCAAAAUCCUAGCUAUAAAGUGGGGAAGGACGUAUGAUUUAAACUAUAAGCCAGAAGGCUUGAUAACGUGAAAAAGCAAUGUUGCAUGAAUAGCAUGUAACAUGCAUGUGUGUCAUAUAUUUGGCUUAUGUAAACUAAAGACAUGUAAACUAAAGAUGUGUAAUGGCAGGGGUGAAAUGCUGCCAGUAUUCAUCGGUACCGGGACUCAUUUUAAUGUCUGUACUGGGUACCGGGACUCAUUUUAAUGUCUGUACUGGGUACCGGGACUCAUUUUAAUUCCUGUACUGGGUACCGGGACUUAUUUAAUCACACAGUCCACUAGCGCGACGUUUCUCAAAUGCGCUUUCUUCAGCACAGAGGUGUGGAAACCCUUUGUAGUCGGGGUGCACAGGAUACAGAGACCACAAACAGAACCUAGAAGCAGUAUAGGUUAGAUUACUAGGUACUUAUUUUCUUGUACCACUGCAACCAGUUCAAGUUCAAGAUAGGACUCUCUACUGGUAUACUUAAGAGAUAGA